UACGAAGGGGGCUAGCGUUGCUCGGAAUCACUGGGCGUAAAGGGUGCGUAGGCGGUCGGGUAAGUCUGACGUGAAAUCUUCAAGCUUAACUUGGAAACUGCGUCGGAUACUAUUCGGCUGGAGGAAUGGAGGGGAGACUGGAAUACUUGGUGUAGCAGUGAAAUGCGUAGAUAUCAAGUGGAACACCAGUGGCGAAGGCGAGUCUCUGGACAUUUCCUGACGCUGAGGCACGAAAGCCAGGGGAGCAAACGGG
rnacentral:rRNA from 1 species